UUCUUUGACCUUCAUAAUCGCAGUUGCAUCAAGGUAUUAAUUAACAUCCAUACUUUCAACUCAUAAUAUGCGGAACUAUAUAUAUAUAUGCAUUCAACUACAGUUAUUUAGUUUAUUAUUCAUUCAGGUUGGAAGACCUUGAUCUUGGAAAUCCUCGUGGAAUAGCAAAAGUUCUUGGAACUUAAGUUUUCUUGGCUGGUGCAAUGACUAUGACAUUAUAUAAGGGUCCUAUCAUGCAUAAUCUUUGGCAUCCACUUAUCGAUAUUCAUCGAAAGGCUGGUAACAGCCAUGAGAGCUGGUUAAAGGGUUCGAUACUUGACUGUUGCAAGCUGCAUAUCAUGGUAUAUUAUGCAUGUUCAACUCUAGACUGCACCCAUAAGUUUUAUUUUAGUUAUCAGCACCUGCUCCUACUAAGCAGAAAAAUAAAAUCAUAACUCGAUUAGCAGCUUGUUAAUUCAUAUUAAAAAUUCAGGCACUCACCCUGAAAAGGUAACCUGCUCAACUAUCGCUGGCCACAUAGAUGAGCUUUAUGGGGGCCGCACAAUCUGCUUUCUUCGAAGUGGUUGUAGAACAUAGAAAAAGUGCUUGGACAAUUGGAUUCGAUAUUGAUUUUUGGUCCACUUUGUAAGGAGCAAGUCAGGAUUCAUAGCCACUGUCUUUAUGUUGGAUUCUUGCUGAGUACGUAUUAAUUCUUAACUGGAAUCAUAAAUGGCAGGGAGUGGUCUCUGGUUUAGUAGUUUUCAUU
rnacentral:lncRNA from 1 species